rnacentral:rRNA from 1 species
UACGAAGGGUGCAAGCGUUAAUCGGAAUUACUGGGCGUAAAGCGUGCGUAGGCGGUUUGUUAAGUCUGCUGUGAAAUCCCCGGGCUCAACCUGGGAAUGGCAGUGGAUACUGGCAAGCUAGAGUGUGUCGAGAGGAUGGUGGAAUUCCCGGUGUAGCGGUGAAAUGCGUAGAUAUCCGGAAGAACACCAAAGGCGAAGGCAGCAUCCUGGGAAGUACCUGACGCUCAGAUGCGAAAGCCAGGGGAGCGAACGGG